UUAAAUUGAAGAGUUUGAUCAUGGCUCAGAUUGAACGCUGGCGGCAGGCCUAACACAUGCAAGUCGAACGGUAACAGGAAUCAGCUUGCUGAUUUGCUGACGAGUGGCGGACGGGUGAGUAAUGUCUGGGCAACUGCCUGAUGGAGGGG
rnacentral:rRNA from 1 species